rnacentral:ncRNA from 2 species
CUUAAUUAUCAAGAAUCUCAAAAAAAAGAGAUAGCAACCUGCAAUAACGAGCAAGGUGCUAAAAAAGGAUAAGCCAAUACUUUGGAAAAAAUGUUAAUUUA